rnacentral:rRNA from 1 species
ACUCCUACGGGAGGCAGCAGUGGGGAAUCUUCCGAAUGGGCGAAAGCCUGAUGGAGCAACGCCCUGUGAGUGAAGAAGGUUUUCGGAUCGUAAAACUCUGUUGAAAGGGAAGAACAAGUACGGUAGUAACUGGCUGUACCUUGACGGUACCUUAUUAUAAAGCCACGGCUAACUACGUGCCAGCAGCCGCGGUAAU